UUAUAGAUGUUAAAAGCAAGAGACAUGGGAGAUCAUCAUUCCUUUGAGAUUUUAUAAAUCAAACCAACUUUGGAGUUGUCUGAUUUGGAGAGUCAUUAUUCUUGGUCUUCGCUCUUAGAGGCCACUGAUGAAGAACAGGCGGUGACUGGGAUGAAUGCUGGUCAGAGAGGAGAAACUUUCCCCUAAACAGCGGUGGUUUUAAAGGAGGACGCUGCCCUGGAUGAUGUAGAAGAUGUCACAUGCUGUGCUGAUGGGGUUUCUUCAUGAUUACAUCAGUUAUGCUAAAGAGAUCAUGAAAAUUGACCGUGAUGCAUGAUCUGUAUUCAUGGACUAUGAAACAAACUGUAAGUGUAUAAUUUGUUAAAAAAAAAAAAGUUAAAUGAUUUUUCUGUGUUGUUUAGUAGAAGAGUUUACACUCUGUCAUUCAUACACCUGCUCACAUUCUUUCACACACACACACACACACACACACAUGCGUCUGUUAAAUGUUAUAAUAUCAAAGUUAAUGUUGUGAUUUAUUUGUGUACUGUCAUGCCAGAAUAGUUGGAAAAAAACCUAACUAAUUGUAAAUUUAUUGUAUGUGUUUUCGUAUAUUUUUAUACAAUAUAUACAAUUGAACAAAGUCCAAUUUGAUCUUAAGUUAUAUUCAUCAAAUGUUCAAUGCUUUGUUUAUGAACUCUGUAGCUGUUAAUGCCAUCCUUUUCUGCAUUUCUUCUAACAUGUUACUUUUUUACUUUUCUCUUGUUUUUAAUAAAUAUUUUCCUUUUGGUAAUUA